AUUGAACGCUGGCGGCAGGCCUAACACAUGCAAGUCGAACGGUAACAGGGAUCAGCUUGCUGAUUCGCUGACGAGUGGCGGACGGGUGAGUAAUGUCUGGGAAACUGCCUGAUGGAGGGGGAUAACUACUGGAAACGGUAGCUAAUACCGCAUACCGUCGCAAGACAAAAGAGGGGGACCUUCGGGCCUCUUGCCAUCGGAUGGGCCCAGAUGGGAUUAGCUAGUAGGUGGGGUAACGGCUCACCUAGGCGACGAUCCCUAGCUGGUCUGAGAGGAUGACCAGCCACACUGGAACUGAGACACGGUCCAGACUCCUACGGGAGGCAGCAGUGGGGAAUAUUGCACAAUGGGCGCAAGCCUGAUGCAGCCAUGCCGCGUGUAUGAAGAAGGCCUUCGGGUUGUAAAGUACUUUCAGCGGGGAGGAAGGGAGUAAAGUUAAUACCUUUGCUCAUUGACGUUACCCGCAGAAGAAGCACCGGCUAACUCCGUG
rnacentral:rRNA from 1 species